rnacentral:tRNA from 1 species
CCUUCAAUAGCUCAGCUAGUAGAGCGGAGGACUGCAGACUUGAUAAAUGUGGACAUCCUUAGGUUGCCGGUUUGAUUCCGGCUUGAAGGA